rnacentral:rRNA from 1 species
AAGAGAUCGGGAUAACACCUGGAAACAGAUGCUAAUACCGGAUAACAACAGAUGAUGCCUAUCAACUGUUUAAAAGAUGGUUCUGCUAUCACUCUUGGAUGGACCUGCGGUGCAUUAGCUAGUUGGUAGGGUAACGGCCUACCAAGGCGAUGAUGCAUAGCCGAGUUGAGAGACUGAUCGGCCACAUUGGGACUGAGACACGGCCCAAACUCCUAAGGGAGGCAGCAGCU